rnacentral:lncRNA from 10 species
AUUAGCUGGGUGUAGUGGUGCAUGCCUGUAAUCCCAGCUACUUGGGAGUCUGAGGCAAGAGAAUCACUUGAACCCAAGAGGUGGAAGUUGCAGUGAGCUGAGAUAGCGCCAUUGCACUCCAGCAUGGGGGACAGAGUGAGAUGCCGUCUCAGAAAGAAAGAAAAAGAAAUUCACAGGAAGAGACAGGGAGGCAGGAUUAUCCAGAGCUGUCUAUAGCAGAGCUGCUGUGCACAGAGCCUGGUGCUCCAGCCCUCCGGGCUGGGCGGUUGGGAGGAGCUCACUGUAAGCAUACCACUCUGAAAUCUCUGGUUUAGAGCAGCCUAGGGCCUUUAUGUCAUCCACGAUGCCAUAAAAAAGUUUUCUAUGUAUGCCAUGACAUGGAAGAGGUGGGGAAAACAUUGGCAUGAAGUAACAGCAGAGGACUACAUCAGUGUUAAGGAAAUCUGAACACAAUCCUGUCAGAGUUCCAGUGCUGCCGUUCUAGAAUUUUGUUAUCUUAUAGGUAAUACUUUGAAAACAAAUAAUCCACAUAUCUAUAAAUCCGUCUGGAAGAGGAACAAAAAUGAAUAUACAAAGAUGUCAUUGUUGUGAAAAAAUUAAAAAAAUCUUCAAAGUAGCAAAAUAAAAUAGGUAAAUAAGUUAUAGUAAAUUCAUGCUAUGAAAUAGUAUACAGCUCUUUAAAAUGGAAUUUUUCUGAAAAGGACACAUACUUUAAAGUGAGAAAAGCAGGGCACAAAAUUUGAUACAAGAUACGGAUUUUGUAAACCGCACUCAGAAAAUAAAAUCAGAUCAUUGCAUGCAAAAUAGUGUUCCUGGGUGAUAUGAUUAUAACUAUUUUUUCAAAAUAGUUUACUUUUUUCAACUUAAAUAUAAAAUAAAACAUAAAAAUAAAAACGUGAUAAUGUAUUCGAUGGCAGUUUUAAAAUGUAGGAUUGCUUGUAUCCCAGAAAUCUUAAGAAAAUGUGUCUAAUCAUUUCAUUUCUACUUUCUAUACCUGUAACUUACAUGGUUGGGAAUACAGUACGGAUGUCCUUUUUUAAAAAAUUAAAAUAUAUACAACACCGUGAAGGACUUCCUUCUAGUGCAGAUGACUGACAAAAUGAAGAGAAGAUGCACCUGUUCCAGUGGUGUCUAGUGAUUUGAACAGAAAGAAACUGUGAAGAACCAGGAAUGAAAUCCUGAGAUAUGAAGGGGACUGUCUGAAAUCCAUGUGCCUUUUUGAGGUAGUUUCGUAUCAUCUCCUGGAAGCAGAAAUGCUACAAAGCAGUGGAAGGAAGCUGGGGUUUUCCCUGUCAUUGGGGAGUUUAACUCUGGGGAGCUUAUUUUUCCCCAACUUUAUUAAGGUAUGAUGGAUAAAUGAAAAUUGUAUGUAUUUAAGGUGUACCAUGUGAUGAUUUGAUAUGCAUAUACAUUGUGAAAUGAUUACAUAAUCUGUCUAAUUAGCAUAUCCAUCCCCUCCCAUAAUUACCUUUUUUCCGUGGGGAACACACUUAUGAUUUACUCUCUCGGUAAAUGUCAAGUAUGCAUUAUUACUAACUAUAAUCGUUAUGCUGUACAUUAGAACCUGCUCAUCUUAUCCUUUAACCAACAUUGCCCCAUUACCACAACAGAUUAGAGAUUUAAAUCUCUUAUAAUGCUUAUAUUUAGACAUUUUAGAACUCUAAACUUAAAAAAAAAACAAUUCUGCUUAAUAAGAGAUUUAUCCCCAGAUUAUUUGAAGACACCAGGAAGAGAGAGGUCAGGGAAGGGAGUGUGGCCCAGGGUGAAGGUUCAGCGAACACCUGCUAGAUGCAUGCAGGAAUGAACAUGCCAACAAGCCUUCCCACUGAAUGCACCCAAGUAGAUGACAUGAGAAUGCAUUCUCUGUCUGCAACAUUCUUGGCUUAACUUGCCACUGACUUUAGCAAGCAGCCAUGCAUUCCUGUGAUGCAGCUUUAAUGGCCUUUCAUUUGCUCACAUUGGCUGAGCCCUGUGCAGAGUGGAUGCCACCUCCCUUCCUGCAGCCCUGCCAUCAUGUCCCCAACUGUCCUCCCCCAACCCUCCUCCACUCCUGUCACCUCAGUUCCAACAAUAUCCUUCCUUCUCUUUUUAGCAGGGGAUGGUGAGACUAAUUUUUCCCCACCCCAUCUCGAAACUAAGGACUUCAGAUUGCAUCUUGGUGUUGCACUUGAAACAUCCUAAAGCUAACCUGUAAGCUUGUGGCAGCUCCUGGGAGGUGGCAUUUCAUAGCUUGGUUUAUUUGCCAAGUUCCCUACACUCUUAGGUAUCAAAGAAUCCAGAUGUUCAGUUUCUCCUAAUCCCUGUUGAUACCCUAUUUUUUUUAAAAUAAUAGCUAGCCCUGAUUCCUGUAUGUCUGAGGAUUACAGCUAUUUUUUAAAAUUUAAUUUUUAAAGUUCUACUAGAGAUGGGGUCUCACUGCAUUGCCCAGGCUGUCUUGAACUCCCAGCCACAAGUGAUCGUUUCACCUUGGCCUCCCAAAGUGCUGGGAUUACAGGCAUAAGCCACCAUGCCCAGCCCCGAUUUUGAGUUAUCAAUUAAUACCAGCAUUAAAGUAGGUGAAGUUCUAUGACAGUUCAUUUGGCAACUCAAAGCCCUGCUUUCCAAGAGCUUAUUCCAGUGCUUUCAUUAAAAGAGGUAAACUGAAACUUUUGAGUUCAUGUCACCCACAUUAGCAAUGUGUACGUGGGUGCAGCCUUCUUCAAUCGCUAUCUUUUUAGAAUGAGUCCCUUAUUUCCUAGGCUAAUGCUUAGUUUCUUUGCAAAAGUGCAUUCAGACUGAGGUAGCAUCCACUUUUAAUGCUUCUGUGCAUUAAAAGUUGUUGCGGGAAGUCAGGGACCCCGAACGGAGGGACCAGCUGGAGCCACAGCAGAGAAACAUAAAUUGUGAAGAUUUCAUGGACGUUUAUCAGUUCCCAAAUACUAGUUUUAUAAUUUCUUAUGCCUGCCUUUACUUUAAUCUCUUAAUCCUGUUAUCUUCAUAAGCUGAGGAUAUACAUCACCUCAGGACCACUGUGAUAAUUGUGUUAACUGUAUAAAUUGAUUGUAAAACGUGUGUUUGAACAAUAUGAAAUCAGUGCACCUUGAAAAAGAACAGAGUAACAGCGAUUUUUAGGGAACAAGGGAAGAUAACCAUAAGGUCUGACUGCCUGUGGGGUCAGGCAAAAAAAGCCCUAUUUUUCUUCUUGCAGAGAGCCUAUAAAUGGACGUGCAAGUAGGGAAGAUAUCGCUAAAUUCUUUUUCUAG